rnacentral:lncRNA from 1 species
CGAUAGGUCGAGUAGAGGUGUGAUUGAAGUUUCGAUGACGAAACUCUUUUAAGGGGUGAAGAAUGUAGCAUACCGAAUUUUAAAAUAAGGAUAAAAAUAAAUAAAAAUAGUGUGAGAUACUAUUUUUAUUGGACUUAUAGAAGUAAAAUAUAAGUCGAGAACGACUCGUGCGGAAAUCGAAGCGAGAACAGAAGAUUUUGAAUUUUUUGUGUAAAUCGAGGCUGUUAUUUUAGCAGAAAAUGCACAGUGUCAGAAAAUUUCGAAAUCUGGGAAUAUGUCAGAAUUAUUUUUAUGAGGCUAGAUUUAAGGUUUCAUGUCAUUCUGACACCCGGAAGGUGAAAAAUAAAUUUGACAGUUAUCUGAUAAAGAUUACAGUUCGGUACAGCUUUCGGUGACCAAACGGGGUCGAAACUGAAAUAUUAAAAUUUCUUUCGUUAAGUAAGGUUAGACCGAGCAUGACUGCCAAAUUUGAGCUCAAUCGAACGUUCAGAAGGGCAGACGAAAAAUAUCUGUACCUGAGCUACAAUCUGAUGUGAAUAGUGUUUUGGGAGUAUAU